ACCUGCAGGCGGCCGCACUAGUGAUUUGACUAAGCCAUGCGAGUCAAGGUGUCUUCGGACGCCGGCAUACGGCUCAGUAACACGUAGGUAACCUACCCUCAGGACUGAGAUAACCCCGGGAAACUGGGGCCAAUAUUAGAUAGAUAAAAGAUACUGGAAUGUUCUUUUAUCCAAAGCUUUUGCGCCUGAGGAUGGGCCUGCGUCCGAUUAGGUCGUUGGUGGGGUAAUGGCCCACCAAGCCUGCGAUCGGUACGGGCAGUGGAAGCUGAAGCCCGGAGUUGGGGACUGAGACAAGGCCCCAGGCCCUACGGGGCGCAGCAGGCGCGAAACCUCUGCAAUGCGGGAAACCGUGACAGGGGGAUCCCAAGUGCUCAUGCAUUGCAUGGGCUGUUCUUUGGUCUAAGUAACCAGAGGAGUAAGGGCUGGGCAAGACCGGUGCCAGCCGCCGCGGUAAUACCGGCAGCUCAAGUGGUAGCCGCGAUUAUUGGGCCUAAAACGUUCGUAGCCGGAUAAGAAAGUCUUUGGUUAAAUCCUGCGACUCAACCGUGGGAAUUCUAGAGAUACUGCUCGUCUUGAGACCGGGAGAGGUUGGAGGUACUCCUAGGGUAGGGGUGAAAUCCUGUAAUCCUAGGGGGACCACCUGUGGCGAAGGCGUCCAACUGGAACGGGUCUGACGGUGAGGGACGAAACCUAGGGGAGCGAGCCGGAUUAGAUACCCGGGUAGUCCUAGGCGUAAAUGAUGCGAGUUAAGUGUGGGGGCAUCUACGAGAUGGCCCUGUGCUGUAGGGUAGCCGUUAAACUCGCUGCCUGGGGAGUACGGUCGCAAGGCUGAAACUUAAAGGAAUUGGCGGGGGAGCAAAUCCCGCGGCCA
rnacentral:rRNA from 1 species